rnacentral:rRNA from 1 species
GAUGAACGCUGGCGGCGUGCCUAAUACAUGCAAGUCGAGCGAACAGAUAAGGAGCUUGCUCCUUUGACGUUAGCGGCGGACGGGUGAGUAACACGUGUGUAACCUACCUAUAAGUCUGGGAUAACCUCGGGAAACCGGAGCUAAUACCGUAUAAGAUUUCGAACCGCAUGGUUCGAUAGUGAAAGACGGUGUUGCUAUCACUUAUAGAUGGACCCGCGCCGUAUUAGCUAGUUGUUAAGGUAACGGCUUACCAAGGCGACGAUACGUAGCCGACCUGAGAGGGUGAUCGGCCACACUGGAACUGAGACACGGUCCAGACUCCUACGGGAGGCAGCAGUAGGGAAUCUUCCGCAAUGGGCGAAAGCCUGACGGAGCAACGCCGCGUGAGUGAUGAAGGUCUUCGGAUCGUAAAACUCUGUUAUUAGGGAAGAACAUACGUGUAAGUAACUGUGCACGUCUUGACGGUACCUAAUCAGAAAGCAACGGCUAACUACGUG